UUUCUACUUUACUCUGAUGUA
ensembl:piRNA 21ur-7144 ncRNA